UUCAGGUGUCGCAUAUGAAGGAUGAAAAAGAGGCCCUAAUAAAUCAACUAACUUUGGUGGAAUCCUUGUGGACGGAAGAGCUAAAGAUUCUCAGGGCAUCUGCCAAGACCCUGCACAGUUUGCAAACAGCUUUUACCUGAUUUCACCAAAGUGCGUUUGGUCACCUCCUCUGAAACAGAAGUUAAUUUGAAGAGCGUCAUCGUGGCCUGGGGCGGUGGCCGCCCCCAGGACGUGCAGGAUUUCUGCAGGGGGCAGCACAGGUUCUGGGACUGUGAGGCUGUGAGUGAAGGUGGACAAGCUGUCUGGAUAGCACGUCUAAUGCUCUUCUGAAUAAAGUGCUGAACUGUGAGGAGAGAGGCGGACUGCCAGGGAGCCAGGAGCCAGCUGCGUCCGUGUGUGGUCUGUCACCACGGGGCCUGCUUCUUAUCUGACACAGCAGCUCUCAGAGUCUAGCGGUUGUGCUUUUAAGAUGCUCUGAUACCGUUGGGUUAAGGGGCAGGUUGGCGGUGGGUGGCUUUGGGUGGUGGGUGUGGGGAAGUGUGAGGUAGUCCUGGGUUCCCGCCAGGGUGGCCCAGCCGCCAGCCGUUCCCUGUGUGACUGCACUGAGGUGGGCGUUGAAGAGUCCCCUAGGGGACACAGGGCUUCCAAGAGGAGGGAAUGUCCUCUAAACAUGCUUCUGGCCUCCCAAGGCGGCGCUUGUCUAAUUAUUCACUUGGGAAGAAUGACUGGCUUAGCCAGCGGCCCUUUCUGCUUUGUUCUGGUGGCUGUCCUGGGCAGGCCUUUCAACCUGGGAAGCUGGCCCAUCCGCGGUGGGCCUGUCUGCUUGAUUCUGGGGUUCAGUGUAGGUCAGCUGAUUGCAAACCACGGUAGUGGUUUGGCCUCUGUUCUUACUCUUGAGUUUUGAUGCUGCUCAGACCCUGGGUGGGGAAAAGGGGCGCUUCCUGCACAGCUUUCAGCUGCCUGUGGCCUCGGGACUGCCUGCAUAAGUAACGCAGGGGCUGCUGGUCCUGUUCAGGCCCAUGCCGGAGACGCUGCGUAGACAGUGUUGCCCAGGGUCCUAUUUACCCUCCCAGGGUUCAUUCUUCCCAAGAACUGAAAUUCCUUUCUCACUGGAGCCCAGCAAAACCAAAUGAACGGGGCCUGCUGGCCUCAGAAGGCAGGCAGAGUUUAAAAUAAAACUUUCUCAUGAUUUCUUGAACAUCUUUCCCUGUUUGUAUAUACAGUUUGUGUUUAUUUUUCAAUAGUUGCAGUAUAUUUCUUUUUUUUAAUAUUCAGUAUAAUGCAGUGUAUUUCAUCAUACAAUGUAUGGAGAGUGGGCAGACUCUUCUGUGGAGGGCCCGGUAGUGACCAUUUGAAGCUUUCUGGACCUGUGGCCUUAGUCCCAGCGAUUCUGCAGAGCAGCUAUCAGCAGCAUGUCUACCACUUGCAAGGCUGGGCUCCCGGGAAACUUGACAGUGACAGGUGGUGGGCCGUAAGUUUCCUGACCCCUGUGCUGUGCUAGAAUUUCUUUCUCCUCUUUCCUGUGAAUGCACCUAAAUAUGUUAAUUCCUUUACACCUUUCAAAAUGGACAGCCCCUUGAACAUUAAAAACUUUGCAGACCCUA